GCAUAUCAAUAAGCGGAGGAAAAGAAACCAACAGGGAUUGCCCCAGUAACGGCGAGUGAAGCGGCAACAGCUCAAAUUUGAAAUCUGGCGCAAGCCCGAGUUGUAAUUUGUAGAGGAUGCUUCUGGCCAGCGGCCGUUCUAAGUUCCUUGGAACAGGACGUCAUAGAGGGUGAGAAUCCCGUAUGUGACCGGCGCGCAGCCUUUACGUAGCUCCUUCGACGAGUCGAGUUGUUUGGGAAUGCAGCUCUAAAUGGGAGGUAAAUUUCUUCUAAAGCUAAAUACCGGCCAGAGACCGAUAGCGCACAAGUAGAGUGAUCGAAAGAUGAAAAGCACUUUGGAAAGAGAGUUAAAAAGCACGUGAAAUUGUUGAAAGGGAAGCGCUUGCAACCAGACUUUGUAGCGAUGUUCCGCUGGUCUUCUGACCGGUCUACUCAUCGUCGCGAGGCCAACAUCGUCUGGGCCCGCCGGAUAAGACCUAAGGAAUGUGGCUUCCCUUCGGGGAAGUGUUAUAGCCUGUGGUGAUACAGCGUGGCUCGGGCGAGGUCCGCGCUUCGGCAAGGAUGUUGGCGUAAUGGUUGUCAGCGGCCCGUCUUGAAACACGGACCAAGGAGUCUAACAUCUAUGCGAGUGUUCGGGUGUCAAACCCCUACGCGUAAUGAAAGUGAACGGAGGUGGGAAGCGCAAGCUGCACCAUCGACCGAUCCUGAUGUCCUCGGAUGGAUUUGAGUAAGAGCAUAGCUGUUGGGACCCGAAAGAUGGUGAACUAUGCCUGAAUAGGGUGAAGCCAGAGGAAACUCUGGUGGAGGCUCGCAGCGGUUCUGACGUGCAAAUCGAUCGUCAAAUUUGGGUAUAGGGGCGAAAGACUAAUCGAACCAUCUAGUAGCUGGUUCCUGCCGA
rnacentral:rRNA from 1 species